AGAGUUCCAUUCUGGCUCAGGAUGAACGCUGGCGGCGUGCUUAACACAUGCAAGUCGAACGAAGCACUUUAACCUGAUUCUUCGGAUGAAGGUUUUUGUGACUGAGUGGCGGACGGGUGAGUAACGCGUGGGUAACCUGCCUCAUACAGGGGGAUAACAGUUAGAAAUGACUGCUAAUACCGCAUAAGACCACGGAGCCGCAUGGCUCAGUGGGAAAAACUCCGGUGGUAUGAGAUGGACCCGCGUCUGAUUAGGUAGUUGGUGGGGUAACGGCCUACCAAGCCAACGAUCAGUAGCCGACCUGAGAGGGUGACCGGCCACAUUGGGACUGAGACACGGCCCAAACUCCUACGGGAGGCAGCAGUGGGGAAUAUUGCACAAUGGGGGAAACCCUGAUGCAGCGACGCCGCGUGAGCGAAGAAGUAUUUCGGUAUGUAAAGCUCUAUCAGCAGGGAAGAAAAUGACGGUACCUGACUAAGAAGCACCGGCUAAAUACGUGCCAGCAGCCGCGGUAAUACGUAUGGUGCAAGCGUUAUCCGGAUUUACUGGGUGUAAAGGGAGCGUAGACGGCUGUGUAAGUCUGAAGUGAAAGCCCGGGGCUCAACCCCGGGACUGCUUUGGAAACUAUGCAGCUAGAGUGUCGGAGAGGUAAGUGGAAUUCCCAGUGUAGCGGUGAAAUGCGUAGAUAUUGGGAGGAACACCAGUGGCGAAGGCGGCUUACUGGACGAUGACUGACGUUGAGGCUCGAAAGCGUGGGGAGCAAGCAAGAUUAGAUACCCUGGUAGUCCACGCCGUAAACGAUG
rnacentral:rRNA from 1 species